GUGAUGAUUACCAGUCGUGUGCUGUCAUUUAACUUCAUCGAUGACAGCGAUGUAGCUCCACCGUCCACCUUAUUAAAAAUAAUGACCUUCACCGUUAUUUGUGAAUGAGUUAUUUGGCUAGUCUGAGUUUUAAAAACGUUUUUAUUGUCUAAAAAUGAACAUCUCUAACAAAUUAAAAAGAGUUAAAGCGCAAGCUGAUCAUCUGUUUCUCAGGGGAGAGAAGACAGAUGUGGUUGGGGAGCUCCGUGAUGCUGAGAACAAGGCUGACAGUCUCCGUGUCAUGUGUGAAGCUCUCAAGUCAGCCAUUGAGAAAACUCUCAUCACCCACAACACCCCUGAGGACAAACGAAUGCGCAAGUUGACUGAAAGCAAUGGGUCAGAAAUUCUCAAAGAUGUCCUCAACCAACUUUCUUCUAGUGCUACUCAGGACUCAAACAUGCUCUCUGAACAGCUUCUCCUAUGGAGCAUGCUGGAGCACACAGUGGAGUGCCAACAAGCACUAAAUCUUGAAGUGCUGAAGCAUGACGAAGAAAUUGAAACAAACGUUUUGUCUCACCUCAAUAAACUGAUGAAGGAAGAUUUUGCCAGCUAUUCUAAAAUGAAAAAGUUAUUGAAACAGUAUGGACAAGAUUUAGACACAGCAAGAAGUCGGUACCGCAGCAGUGCCAUGCCGUCCUCCACUGCUCCCUCCCUCAAGCUCGAGAGCUACAAGGAGGAGAUGGACGAAGCUGAGAGCAAGCUGGAGCAGUUCAGGGAUCAAUAUGCAUCUGAACUGUACGUCCUACUUGCUAAAGAACGCUUCAUCUGUAACCUGGUGAAGCAAUAUCUGGUGAUCAGGCAAGACUUCUACUCAUUCUCCCAAAAAACCUUUGACAACGCUUUGCCACACAUCCUUGAGAGACUUGAAAACAGCACCCAAGGCCCUGUGUUUGGUUGUUGUCUUAACGAACAUCUUGUCAUUACUAGAAGGACUCUCGCUCUACCACUGGAAGUGUGCGUCAAAAGGCUGGUUGAGGUUGGUCUCCUUGAAGAAGGUUUGUUCCGCGUCGCAGGCAGCGCCACAAAAGUGAAGCGUCUCAAGGCAGCUUUUGAUGCCAACACAAUAGACAGCUCCUCCUUUGCCUCUAGUUCUACUGACGAUUGCCAUAAGGACGUCGAUGUGCACGUCGUUGCUGGCGUCUUGAAAUCCUAUCUUCGUGAGCUACCUGAGCCUCUGCUCACCCAUACUCUCCACUCUGAGUGGCUUGAGGCAGCCAAAAUACCUGACCGGGACGAGAGUCUGCGCAAACUGUGGACCGUUGUACAGAGGCUUCCUAAGCCUAACCUACAGAAUUUGAGUUAUUUCAUGCAGUUUUUGUCUCUUCUCACUCAGUACCUGCCAUACAAUAAGAUGACGCCAAACAACCUCUCUAUCGUUAUCGCUCCUAACCUCAUCUGGAGCCCUGAUGAGAACAUGACUGAGAACAUCAUGAGCAGCACUUUAGGCCGUAAUAUGAGCUAUGGCAAUUAUUACCGACAAAUUGUUGAAAAGCUCAUUGAAAACUCCGAGUAUUUCUUCCCUGAUAGAAUUAACUUCGAUGUGCCAAAAUUAAGUCUGCCCAAACCUCCCGAAACUCCUUUGGAUGGUGUGGGCAAUGAGAGCGUGCCAAGUGUGGCUGGCAACACUGGAGGUCACGUUGCAGGAUCAAUGCAUAAGAGGAAUAAAAGUGCCGAUUUGAGCAGACUUGACAUGAGUGUGCUUGUGAACAACUUCGAUGUUAGAGAGCAAGAUAGUCCCAAGCACCCAUUGAGACGGAAGAAACAAGCACCUCUGCCUCCUCAAGGGACCAAAAUUGUGGACCAGAGCGGCGAUAAUUCAUCAUCUUCUUCACCUGAGCAGUCGCGUAGUCAACAGUUGGUUCCUACCCGCGAAGCUCCCACCCCUCAGCGCGUCUACCCCGGCCUUCCCAACUCUUCAUCCACAAAUGAUGCCAAAAUCAUGAGCAAAUCCACCGAGGGCUUGUUCAACAGCCCCAAUCCUCCAGUACCCGCCGUUCGCGCGUAUGGAACCGUGCGUACGGCCAGCGUGCGUAAGCCCAACAGACCAAGUAUAGAACCUCCCAAGCCUCCUGUGGUGAGGCUCCCUGAACCGUCAGCCGACGGCGGUGGUGCAUUAGGGAGCCAUGUUGUCGGACUCCAGCCGACUGGGGGUGUGGGAAUUAACGCCUCUGUGGGAGCUAGUCACAGUUCAGGUGCGGAAAAGAGUUCUGGCACGAACCCGUUAGGUGUUCAGGAUGGAGUGAGAGCCCCGAAUGCAGGUCCAGCUACAGACAUUCAAGCUGUGGUCAAACCUCCUCGCCCCAGUCCUCCUCUAUUGUCUAAUUUAGAGAAAUCAGCUUCGGCUUCUCACGUUCUUGAAAAAAUUAAUGCUGUUCAGCUGCCAGCCAAAGGCUCGUUGCAAAAUUGUGAUAAAACUCUUGGAGGGGACGACAAGGUGCCUGCUGCUACCUGUAUUAAUCCGUCAUCAACUGGUCCCAUUGAUACCCAGCAUCCCUCACCUGCCCAACGAGCCCAAAAAGAAGAGAACCAGGCUUCCUCUUCUUCUUCUCAGCAUGGCCUCUCUUCUUCUCAGGCUGCCUCGUCUACUUCUCAAGGUCCUUCCACUACUCAGUCUGCCUCUUCCGCUUCACAGGCUCCAAUAGGCUUUGAAAUUAUACACAAUGAAAUGCAGGAAACUUCUGAAGUUGAAUUGAGACGUCCGACUCAAGCCCCUUCCGAAGAUGCUGGGCAUAACACCAAUUUCAAAGCCCCUCUCUCAUCCAAGGAAAUGUUCAGAAAAUCUCUGGAGAAUAUAAUGCAGGAACAGAGCUCAUGUCCGCCCGUUGCUUUGCCACGACACAUCGACACCAGUGACGAGCAUGACAAGAACUCGCAAGUCUCAGCUGCUGACGGCCAGCUGGCGAGUCAUCCUAUACCUGCUGCCAGGACCAUCAAGGAUGUUCUGCUGGGCGCUGCCAACGAUAAGCCUGAGCUGGCGACACGCGUCGACAAACCCGCUCUCCCUGAGAAGCCCAUGACGCUUCCUCGGCCUCCUUCUUCGGACCGUCCUCCUCUCGCGCCUCGCCCCUCGUCCAACCCCAACGUAAAGUGUCUGGGCUCCCCAGCCCCACCCCUAGACCCUUCAUCCUCUUCAAACUCCAAUGACGGGGAAACGUGCUAUGCUAUUCUCCCCACAGAGACAUCCUCCAACAGUUCUCCCAGUCCCUUGGGCCGGAGGACAACUACUGAAGACCUGACGGCGUUCGCUGACGGACAUAAUUCUGUAUCAAGUGAUAAGUCAAGCCCAAGGGCUAGUCUAUAGCUCCUGCCUACGGCUGCUCCCAGUAUCCCUGCUGCUGUCGUCCUCUGCCACGCUGUGAGCGUUCGUACUUUGAAGUCUGGCAUGAGGAGCAAGAGUGUCGUGUCGCGUAAGCUCACUCCUCACCUCUCAACUCCAC
rnacentral:misc_RNA from 1 species